UUAUCAACUUUCGAUGGUAGGAUAGAGGCCUACCAUGGUGGUAACGGGUAACGGGGUGUUAGGGCACGACACCGGAGAGGGAGCCUGAGAGGCGGCUACCACAUCCAAGGAUGGCAGCAGGCGCGCAAAUUACCCAAUCCCGACACGGGGAGGUAGUGACAAUAAAUAACAAUACGGGGUUCUUUAGGAUCUCGUAAUUGGAAUGAGUACAAUUUAAAUCUCUUAACGAGGAACAAUUGGAGGGCAAGUCUGGUGCCAGCAGCCGCGGUAAUUCCAGCUCCAAUAGCGUAUAUUAAAGUUGUUGCAGUUAAAAAGCUCGUAGUUGAAUUUCGGGGUUAGUAGGUUGGUCAUGCCUCUGGUAUGUACUGGUCUCACUGAUUCCUCCUUCCUUAUGAACCGUAAUGCCAUUAAUUUGGUGUUGCGGGGAAUUUGGACUGUUACUUUGAAAAAAUUAGAGUGUUUAAAGCAAGCUAACGCUUGAAUACAUUAGCAUGGAAUAAUGAAAUAGGACGUUCGAUCUUAUUUUGUUGGUUUCUAGGAUUGACGUAAUGAUUAAUAGGGAUAGUUGGGGGCAUUAGUAUUCAAUUGUCAGAGGUGAAAUUCUUGGAUUUACUGAAGACUAGCUACUGCGAAAGCAUUUGCCAAGGAUGUUUUCAUUAAUCAAGAACGAAAGUUAGGGGAUCGAAGACGAUCAGAUACCGUCGUAGUCUUAACCAUAAACUAUGCCGACUAGGGAUCGGAUGAUGUUAAUUUUUUAAUGACUCAUUCGGCGCCUUACGGGAAACCCAAAGUG
rnacentral:rRNA from 1 species